AUCGCUUCUCGGCCUUUUGGCUAAGAUCAAGUGUAGUACCUAUUCUUAUCAGUUUAACAAAUCACGCUACCAUGCAAUGAAUGUAUAUUUUUGUAUAAACCUUGUUCGUGUGGGAUUUCUCUAGUCUACACAUCUAGAGGUGAAACCUUUAGAUGGAAGAAUAAUGCAUCUUCAUCUUUUGCAGGUCUUCCCUA
ensembl:snRNA U2 U2 spliceosomal RNA